ensembl:snRNA U6 U6 spliceosomal RNA
GUGCUCGCUUUGGCAGCACGUAUACUGAAAUUGGAACGAUACAGAGAGGAUUAGCACGGCCCCUGCGCAAGGAUGACACGCAAAUUCGCGAAGCAUUACUUAUUCAA